rnacentral:rRNA from 1 species
AGUCGUAACAAGGUCUCCGUUGGUGAACCAGCGGAGGGAUCAUUACCGAGUUUACAACUCCCAAACCCCUGUGAACAUACCACUUGUUGCCUCGGCGGAUCAGCCCGCUCCCGGUAAAACGGGACGGCCCGCCAGAGGACCCCUAAACUCUGUUUCUAUAUGUAACUUCUGAGUAAAACCAUAAAUAAAUCAAAACUUUCAACAACGGAUCUCUUGGUUCUGGCAUCGAUGAAGAACGCAGCAAAAUGCGAUAAGUAAUGUGAAUUGCAGAAUUCAGUGAAUCAUCGAAUCUUUGAACGCACAUUGCGCCCGCCAGUAUUCUGGCGGGCAUGCCUGUUCGAGCGUCAUUUCAACCCUCAAGCACAGCUUGGUGUUGGGACUCGCGUUAAUUCGCGUUCCCCAAAUUGAUUGGCGGUCACGUCGAGCUUCCAUAGCGUAGUAGUAAAACCCUCGUUACUGGUAAUCGUCGCGGCCACGCCGUUAAACCCCAACUUCUGAAUGUUGACCUCGGAUCAGGUAGGAAUACCCGCUGAACUUAAGCAUAUCAAUAAGUCG